rnacentral:rRNA from 1 species
AACGAACGCUGGCGGCAGGCCUAGCACAUGCAAGUCGAGCGGAUGAAGGUAGCUUGCUAUCUGAUUCAGCGGCGGACGGGUGAGUAAUGCCUAGGAAUCUGCCUGUUAGUGGGGGAUAACUCGGGGAAACUCGGGCUAAUACCGCAUACGUCCUACGGGAGAAAGUGGGGGAUCUUCGGACCUCACGCUAACAGAUGAGCCUAGGUCGGAUUAGCUAGUAGGUGAGGUAAUGGCUCACCUAGGCGACGAUCCGUAACUGGUCUGAGAGGAUGAUCAGUCACACUGGAACUGAGACACGGUCCAGACUCCUACGGGAGGCAGCAGUGGGGAAUAUUGGACAAUGGGCGAAAGCCUGAUCCAGCCAUGCCGCGUGUGUGAAGAAGGUCUUCGGAUUGUAAAGCACUUUAAGUUGGGAGGAAGGGUAUUCACCUAAUACGUGGGUACUUUGACGUUACCAACAGAAUAAGCACCGGCUAACUCUGUGCCAGCCGCCGCCGUAA